UACCUAAAAGCAUCGUUAGUGGAUCGUG
rnacentral:sRNA from 1 species